CUAAUACAUGCAAGUCGAGCGAAUGGAUAAGAGCUUGCUCUAUGAAGUUAGCGGCGGACGGGUGAGUAACACGUGGGUAACCUGCCCAUAAGACUGGGAUAACUCCGGGAAACCGGGGCUAAUACCGGAUACAUGUUUGAACCGCAUGGUUCGAAAUUGAAAGGCGGCUUCGGCUGUCACUUAUGGAUGGACCCGCGUCGCAUUAGCUAGUUGGUGAGGUAACGGCUCACCAAGGCAACGAUGCGUAGCCGACCUGAGAGGGUGAUCGGCCACACUGGGACUGAGACACGGCCCAGACUCCUACGGGAGGCAGCAGUAGGGAAUCUUCCGCAAUGGACGAAAGUCUGACGGAGCAACGCCGCGUGAGUGAUGAAGGCUUUCGGGUCGUAAAACUCUGUUGUUAGGGAAGAACAAGUGCUGUUGAAAUAAGCUGGCACCUUGACGGUACCUAACCAGAAAGCCACGGCUAACUACGUGCCAGCAGCCGCGGUAAUACGUAGGUGGCAAGCGUUAUCCGGAAUUAUUGGGCGUAAAGCGCGCGCAGGUGGUUUCUUAAGUCUGAUGUGAAAGCCCACGGCUCAACCGUGGAGGGUCAUUGGAAACUGGGAGACUUGAGUGCAAAAGAGGAAAGUGGAAUUCCAUGUGUAGCGGUGAAAUGCGUAGAGAUAUGGAGGAACACCAGUGGCGAAGGCGACUUUCUGGUCUGUAACUGACACUGAGGCGCGAAAGCGUGGGGAGCAAACAGAAUUAGAUACCCUGGUAGUCCAC
rnacentral:rRNA from 1 species